rnacentral:rRNA from 1 species
CAGUCGCCACGGUAAUACAGAGGGUGCAAGCGUUAAUCGGAAUUACUGGGCGUAAAGCGCGCGUAGGUUGUUUGUUAAGUUGGAUGUGAAAGCCCCGGGCUCAACCUGGGAACUGCAUCCAAAACUGGCAAGCUAGAGUACGGUAGAGGGUGGUGGAAUUUCCUGUGUAGCGGUGAAAUGCGUAGAUAUAGGAAGGAACACCAGUGGCGAAGGCGACCACCUGGACUGAUACUGACACUGAGGUGCGAAAGCGUGGUGAGCAAACAGGAUUAGAUACCCGCGUAGUCCCUGUCUCUUAUAC